AUGUCCUUCACCACUCAUUUCACCACCUUCUCCAGCAAUUACUGGUCCCUGGACUCAGUCUAGAUGCCCAGCUACAGUGUCCGGCCCGCCAGCAGAGCAGCCAGAGUCUAUGCAGACGUCCGGGACUCGGGCUCCCAGAUUUCCGUGUCCUGCUCCACCAGCUUCCAGGGCAGCUAGGGAUCUGGGGGCCUGGCCCUGGGGAUGGCCGGGGGUCUGACAGGAAUGGGGGGCUUCCAGACUGAGAAGGAGAUCAUACAAGAACUGAACGACCACCUGGCCUCCUACCUGGACAGAGUGAGGACCCUGGAGACUGAUAAUCAGAAACUGGAGAGCAAAAUCCAGAAACACCUGAAGAAAAAAGGGUCCCAGGUCAGAGACUGGGCGCAUUACUUCAAGACUAUGGAGGACCUGAGGGCUCAGAUCUUUGCAAAUUCUGUGGACAAUGCCCGCAUCACUCUGCAGAUUGACAAUGCCCAUCUUGCUGCUGAUGACUUUAGAGUCAAGUAUGAGACAGAACUGGUCAUGCACCAGUCUGUGGAGAGCGACAUCCAUGGGCUCUGCAAGGUCACUGAUGACACCAAUAUUACUCUCCUGCAGCUGGAGUCAGAGAUCGAGUCUCUCAAGGAGGAGCUGCUCUUCAUGAAGAAGAACCACGAGGAGGAAGUAAAAGCCCUACAAGCCCAGAUUGCCAGCUCUGGGUUGACUGUGGAAGUAGAUGCUCCCAAAUCCCAGGACCUGAGCAAGAUCAUGGCAGACAUGCGGGCCCAGUAUGAUGAGCUGGCUCUGAAGAGCCAAGAAGAGCUGGCCAAGACCUGGUCUCAGCAGACUGGGGAGAGCACCACAGUGGUCACCUCACAGUCUACUGAGGUCACAGCUGCUGGGACAAUGCUGAAAGAGCUGAUGAGUCCAGUCUAGUCCUUAGAGAUCGAAAUGGACUCUGCAAGAAAUCAGAAGUCCAGGUUGGAGAACAGCCUGAGGGAGGUGAAGGCCCACUACGCCAUGGAGAUGGGGAAUCUCAAGGGGGUCUUGCUGCAUUUGGGGUCAGAGUUGGCACAGACCUGGACAGAGGGGCAGCACCAGGCCCAGGAAUAUGAGGCACUGUUGAACAUCAAGGUCAAACUAGAGGCUGAGAUCGCCACCUACCGCCACCUGCUGGAAGAUGGGGAGGACUUCAACCUUGGUGAUGCCCUGGACAGCAGCAACCCCAUGCAAACCAUCCAAAAGACCACCACGCGCAGGAUAGUGGGGGACAAAGUGGUGUCUGAGACCAACGACACCAAAGUUCUGAGACACUGA